rnacentral:lncRNA from 1 species
UAACCGUAUGUUGACUGUACAAAGGUAGCAUAAUAAAUUGUCUUUUAAUUGAAGAAUUGUAUGAAUGAAUUAAUGAAAUAAUAAUUGUCUCUAAAUUAUUAAAUGAAUUUAAAUUUUUAGUUAAAAUUCUAAAAUUUAGUUAUGGGACGAUAAGACCCUAUAGAAUUU